GGCUAGGGGUCUCAUCGCAGCUGUGGCUGCCGGCCUACGCCCGAGUCACAGCAAUGCCACAUCUGAGCCCCGUCUGUGACCUACACCACAGCUCACAGCAACGCCGGAUCCUUAACCCAGUGAUUGAGGCCAGGGAUUGAACCCACAACCUCAUGGUUCCUAGUCAGAUUUGUUUCCGCUGUGCCGCUAUGGGAACUCCAAUCCUAACGUCUUCCUACUCUUCAGUCACUGUGUUUAGGGCUGAAAUUCUUAACCUUUUCUCUCUCCAGGCACAGAGACGGGGGUAAGGAAGGCCCAUUUCAAAAGCUUGUACCAACCAACAAAACGGAAUCCCAUUCAAAUAAGAGAUAACUAUGCAAAGUACAGAUGGUGAGACAGACAUGGGUCCUGGGUGCUUCCCAUAAGCUCCGCGACGCUGGGCCAAGUUUCUGAGGGUCAGUGUUCUCCCCUGUAAAACAGGGACCAACACUGGAAUCGCAGAGUUGUGUCAAUGAGGAAUAGCAGCAUGGUGUGGGAGAGAUAUCAGACAAAGCCUCGCAGAAGAGCAGCUGUAACCACCAAACAGACCGUUCUCACCAUGUGUGGGGGGUGGUUCCGCCGGCUGCUCAAAACAUGACUGUUCUAUGAACACAAGGAUUGAGUGGGAAGAGGAGGGUGUGGGAAGAGAUGACAGAGGAGGAGCGGUCGCUCCAGCCCACCUUUCUGCAAGUAGACCCCCUUUCACCCCCUAAACACCCCCCUUAGUCCUGAUUGCAUGUUUACCCUCCUGCCCUGGAGCCCCUCCGGCCACCAGUCCCCUUUUCCCAACCGCCAGGCCUUCUCUGAUUUUCGCCCCUGCUCCCAAGGCCUCCUGGCCGAUCCUUGAACUUGCUGUGAACUUGACGGCGAUCGCCCUGCUCCUGAGCGGCCGGGCUGUUGUAAAUAAUCAGGAUGAUGAUAAUGAAAAGAGUUGUGCAGGAGGCGGCAGGAGGCCAACCAGACUCCCAGACUCGCUGGGGAACGAGGGAUGUCAUGUCCACGGCCCUGCUCUGUGUAGCUGGUGUUAAUAAAUCACAAUAAUUAAAUACUGGUCCCAGUUAUUUGAAAUUCUUUCCUUUCACUCUGCGCAGCAUUUACGGGAAUAUGACGAUGACGGCUGACAGUCCUCGGGACUGCUGUUGCGCGCCGGGGCUGGCGCAGGACUUGGCCUGCGGCCUCCCUCCCGAGGCUCCCUCCAAACCUGGCCCCCAUCUGGCCUGGGAGCUCUCUCGGUCUUUCCUUCCUGCGCACAGAUGCUGACGAUGGCCAGGACACUGGCCUGUGCGCCUUAGCGUCCAGAGCCGGGGCUUUGGAGACACAAUGGCUGUCACGCACUUGUCUGACCUUGGCUUAGCACCAGGCCACGCUCUCCCCAAGCAUGGCCUCGCUUCAUCCUCACAGCCUCCCUUUGGUGGAUAAGGCACCUGGGGCUGGGAGCCUGGCCUUGAACGGUGGUCCUGUCUCCACCGACGUGUAUUAGUUGGGCUGGGCUGGGCCCUGCUGUGGCAACAAACAUCUCCCCAAAUCUCAGUUGCUUUAACUGCAAAAGUUUUUUUUCACGCCUGCAAAAUGUUGUGACUUUACUGGGCAUGUGACUUCACUGGGCAGCUGUCCCCAUGCGGGGACCUAGCUGUCCCCAUGCAAGGACCCAGCCCUGCAGGCUGCUCCCGUGUCCUGACUCAGCUCCUACACACACACACACACACACACACACACUUAUGCCCCCACCCAGAGGUGGCACACAAUUCCUCUUACAGCCUGGUAUCCAGGAGUAGCCAAGCACCCCAUCUAAGUGCAAGGGGCCUGGGGGCGCAGAGUUUCCUGAGCGCUAGAGGAAAGAGGGCUGAGGGGGAGCACUCGUGGAGGGGGGAGGAGGAGACUGGUACCCAUCGCCCUCGGCAGAGGCUGGGGACCCGCCAAGGUUCCUGCUCAGACGCACGGCUUGCUUGCAUCUUCUCAACCUCUGGGCUUCAUUUCUGUCACCUCUGUGGCCACCUCGUGCCCAGGAAUGGAGGACCCUCCUGACUCUAAGGCACCCCACGACUCCACGGGGACCUUGACCCCAUGCACUUGGCUUUGGCUGGUGGAUCCUGGUCAAGUAUAGGUGGCCUUGGCUGUGUCAACCAGGACAUGGGCUAGGGGGUGCCAGACCCUUAGGGGAUGAGAAUCUGCUCCUGCUUUCCUGGGUCCACCACCCCUUGCCCCCAUUCACAGCUGUCUCCAAGGCCCAGAAGGACACGCAGGUGUCUCAGUCUUGCUCUCAAGGGCUCUUCGGUUUGGAGAUGAGAUGACAUGCUGGUCCCUACAAGACGAGGUGGCAGCUGUAGCUCUGAUUUGACCCCUAGUCUAGGAACUUCCAUGUGCGACAGGUGCCACCGUUAAAAAAAAAAAAAAAAAAGGUAAAAAGCCUACGAGUUCUCACCCCAGGGCAGCCCACUCUGAUCCUAUGAAAGAAUGCUAUUCCAAACAUUUAGAGACAAGACAUCAGAAUUCUUACAAGGCUGCUUGGAUUUCAUGUAACCUGCAACUUUGACACAAGCAAGUUUCCACCUAUGGAUAAAAUUUUAAAAACCCAACGCUUCCUUCCUACCGUUCCUUUAAUCUAUGACGGAAAAAGGGGGGCGUGCACCCAUGAGAACUAGGGGACCUGGGUCCAGAUCUGUCCAGGGCUUAUGUCAGAAUCUGCACAGGAAGCUUAAACGGCGGUGCCCGGCUGCAAAGCAGGAAUGACAGAGAAUGAAUGAGUACGGAAGGGAGAAGCCAGGGUGCCAAGUUGGGGUGGGAGGGCAAACCACGACGGCUCUGGGGGCAUCCCUGAACGGGAUCUAGAGUCUGACGUUGUCCAGACACUGCGGCUCUGAGAUUCCCACCGGAGAGAGGAAGGGGCAGGGAGGAUGGUGGUCCUGCAGUCGGGGGGCAGCUCAGGGCCUCAGGGAUGCUCACCAGUGCAGGGCAGCCCUCUCCCAGGGCUGCCCGCACAUCCUCCUGCCCACGAAGACCUGGAAAGGGAACCCAAAUGAGGACAUUUAAGAGCAGAGCUGCCCUUGAAGGAGCCUGAAACCCUGGCGCCCCCGAACAUCUUGCUGUCACUGUGGGGACACGUUUGUACCUGAUCAAGAGUGAGAGGGUUAAUUGCUCACCAUGGGCCAUGCUCCCCAGGUAUUCAGUCCAACAUGAUUCUAGAUGUUGUCAAAAAAGUGUUUUUCAGAAGAUCUUAACGCACGUCAGCAGACUCUGAGUAAAGCGGACGAUCCUCCCCAAGGGGGGCUUUGUCCCACCAGUCGAGGGACUUAGAAGACGAUGGAGAGCCUUGAGCGGAGGGAGUUCUGCCUCCAGACAGUCUUCGACUUCAACUGUUGACUCUCCCUCGCAUCGCCAGCCUGCGGGCCUGCCCUGCACAUUUUGGUCUUGCCAGCCUCCUCCACGGUCCCCAACUGUGCAGACCAGGUCCCCCCACUCUCUUUCUUUCUUCCUCCAUAUCUCUGUGUGUGUGUGUGUCUACAUCCUAUUGGUUCU
ensembl:lncRNA